rnacentral:lncRNA from 1 species
GCGAAUGAAACAAACAAAAUAAAUAAUAACGAUAACAACAAUAAUGACAAAACAGUACACUAAAAGGAAGAUACUAAUAAAUAUAAAUAAGACAAAGAAUCAAAUAAAUAAGUACAUAAAUAAAUAUAAGGAAAAUGGUUUGUAAAAAUAUUGAAAAUAAAUCAUCAAAGUAGAAUAUAAAUAAAAUUAGAGUCACAAUUUGUAAUAAAACAUGUGUAAGUAAAUAAUAAUAGAUAAAAUAAUAACUGUACAGUCCCAAAUUUGCUCGGGCCCAUACACACGCAAUAACCAAAAAAAUUAUAAUAAAAUCAGCAGUCCAAGUCUAUUACAAAACUACACGGGCCCAAUUACAAACCCAAAUUAACCUUAAAGGGCCCAAUGGCCCAAAACCUAGACCUAGGAUCAGCCGAACAGAAACCUAGGGUUUCCCUUGUGCCGCAGCUAGCCUCCCGGAGCUGUACGGCCUCCACGUCACCACGAACGGCCUCUUCUUCCGUACGGCCAUCUCCACAAUAGAACCUGCGAGAAGAAACAACAAAAAUAGUACUAAUAACAUAAAAAUAAGCCAGCAAAUGAUAGCAAAAAUCAGAGUUUUUUUUUCUUUUUAUAUUUUUCUUUUAUUAUUUAUUCUGUAAAUUGGCUAUAAAAAGGGUCGAAGAUUUUUUGUAAAGUUUACACAUACAAAUACUAAGCAAUCAAAGUACGGAAAAAGGGUUUUUGGCAGAAGGUGAUUAUCCUUCUUAUGAUUUUAUUUCGAUUGGAGUAGGAUUUUCAUCAUUUUUUUGUUUGUUCUUUCUUUCAUUUGGCAUUUGUUAUAAAAUAAAAAAGAUUGGGACAAAGAAGAACUCACCUGAAUCAUUUUAGGGCUCGGUCGUCGGAGUUUCAUCUCCUUCGUCAAAAUAAAGCCCAAGAUCGAGAGUUCUUUUUUUUUUUAUUUUGCUUGCGAUUGUAAGUGCUAAACCUUUGGGUUUGGUUCUUACGGGGUAAAGAAGGAUUUAUACUCACCGCCGGCCAUCGAAUGCAGUGGCAGUGCGGCGAUUGGUGGUUUGUCUUGGUCGGUCAAAUAAGGGAUCAAAAGGGGCUAGGGUUUUAGUUUUGUAAGGGCCGAUUGUUUCAUUUUUUUUCGGAGGAAAUGUUUGAUUUUAUAAAAGGGAGAAAACGACGUCGUUUGGGGCCUAUUUUAGUGGCCUCAAAACGACGUCGCAUAGGGCGACCCAAUUCAACCUGACCCGAUUACCCUCAGGAUCCGCGCGUUUUUGUGGUGAAGGGAUAUUUCACUUUUGGU